ensembl:lncRNA
UAACCUUUAUUUGAACAAAGUGAGUGCGCAGCUUUUUUUCUUAUCUUCAUCAAAGCGCUUCCUGCACAAGGCUGAAUAAAAAACAGUGAGGUAAUAAGACGGAUAAAAACAAAAAGCUCCCAAAGCAACAACGCUUCAAAAAUGAAAGAGAAAAACAAAGCUACAGAUUUCACAUAAACAACAUCACCUAAUUCACUUAGCAAGGUCUGAAAUAAUGAGGCCAAAUGAAAGAGGCAAACUUAAGAUUGUGUUGUCCUUCCUUUUUCUUUUAAAGUUUCCUAAAAACUAGAAGCACAUUUCCUGUUUGCUUCAACUUGGAGAUCUUAGAAUUCCCCCUGCCUUACCAUCGGAGGCUUAAGAUGAAGAAAAGGUCCAUUUCUGACUGAUAACCUCAAUAAUAAACUUAAUAAUUGCCUCUUGAGAUGUUUGCAGAUAAAUGGGUCAAUGAUGCUCUAUUUUUAAAAAGACCGCGAUUCCCAACCCGCAGACUGAAAGAGAAGACUGAUGGGAGCAGACACUUUGCCUGCCGAGUUGAAAGGCUGGUGUAGUGGUAGAGUAGGGAUAAAAAUGUUGCUUCUUUGCUCUUUCUUCUGAAAAUCAUACCUCCUACAACAAAAGGUAAAAGUAAGUAACAUUCAUUUAUACGGUGCUUUUGACUCCUUUACAUGAAUAAAACCAACACUAAACAAAAGCUACACAAUAAAUCAUUCUGGAAAAUCCUGCGUUUCUGUUCAGAUUUCGGAGUUUAAGUUGGUGCCCUUCUUUCUCUUCAAUAUUUCCUGCUGCUGUUUGCAGAAUCACAGCAGAUGGAGAUAAGAGAGGCUCAUAUUCAUCUGCAAGACAAACCAUUUGCUGUGUUCCAACUUUCAUUUUAUGAAAAGAAAAAAAAAACAAAAAAAAACAUCCGCAGACUUGAAAGCUGCAGCAGCAUGAUAAUCUAUCACAAUAUACAUGAGGCCUUUAUCCAGUCUCAUCAAAGUUUCUGUUUAAUCCAGAGUUCACUGUGCCCUGGUGGAGUGCUUUCAUAUCAGGUCAUCUCACACCCAACGGGAAGAAAGAGAAAUGUGCCACAGAGGAUUCCUCAAAAAAACAAGUUUUGUUGCUUCAUACACUCCAGCAAAAUAUGCAGCAUAAUGUCCUUCAGUGAGAUCAAAACAAUGCUUCAUUGUUAAAAUAAGUCCUAUUCCGCGUAUAACUCCUGCACUCCACAACAUGUGGCUUUUUCAAGGUUACGUUCUUAUUACUGAAAGGAGUCUAGUAGUUUUAAAUUCUUCCGGGUAGAAAAACCUGUAAUCACAAAUCACUUUUUAUAAGGGGGUCAUAUAUUUAGCGUGUAAAGUCUCAAGGAACUGCAGCUGUGAAAUGAAUGCAGUAAAAAUUAUGAUAUUUGAAGUUUCGAGAUGGAAGGAUUAGAGUGAUGCAUCAUUGAUCCCAACCAACCAACAUUUAGAGGAGCCUUUUCCACAUAGAAGCUGAACCGCAGCACAUCUACAGAGAUCGAAAG